GACGAACGCUGGCGGCAGGCCUAACACAUGCAAGUCGAACGAAGUCUUCGGACUUAGUGGCGGACGGGUGAGUAACACGUGGGAACGUGCCUUUAGGUUCGGAAUAACUCAGGGAAACUUGUGCUAAUACCGAAUGUGCCCUUCGGGGGAAAGAUUUAUCGCCUUUAGAGCGGCCCGCGUCUGAUUAGCUAGUUGGUGAGGUAAAGGCUCACCAAGGCGACGAUCAGUAGCUGGUCUGAGAGGAUGAUCAGCCACAUUGGGACUGAGACACGGCCCAAACUCCUACGGGAGGCAGCAGUGGGGAAUCUAGCGCAAUGGGCGAAAGCCUGACGCAGCCAUGCCGCGUGAAUGAUGAAGGUCUUAGGAUUGUAAAAUUCUUUCACCGGGGACGAUAAUGACGGUACCCGGAGAAGAAGCCCCGGCUAACUUCGUGCCAGCCGCCGCGGUAAAAC
rnacentral:rRNA from 1 species